UGGGGAAUAUUGCACAAUGGGCACAAGCCUGAUGCAGCCAUGCCGCGUGUAUGAAGAAGGCCUUCGGGUUGUAAAGUACUUUCAGCGAGGAGGAAGGCAUUAAGGUUAAUAACCUUAGUGAUUGACGUUACUCGCAGAAGAAGCACCGGCUAACUCCGCGCCAGCAGCCGCGGUAAAUACGGAGGGUGCAAGCGUUAAUCGGAAUUACUGGGCGUAAAGCGCACGCAGGCGGUCUGUUAAGUCAGAUGUGAAAUCCCCGGGCUCAACCUGGGAACUGCAUUUGAAACUGGCAGGCUUGAGUCUUGUAGAGGGGGGUAGAAUUCCAGGUGUAGCGGUGAAAUGCGUUAGAGAUCUGGAGGAAUACCGGUGGCGAAGGCGGCCCCCUGGACAAAGACUGACGCUCAGGUGCGAAAAGCGUGGGGAGCAAACA
rnacentral:rRNA from 1 species